rnacentral:rRNA from 1 species
GGUUAAUUAAAAUUAAUAAUUUAUAAAAAAUUAAUCUCGAAUUUAAAAGAUUUAAUUAAAAAUUUUAAGUUAUUGUUAAAAUAUUAUUAUUAAUUUUUAAUUGGGAGUGAAAUAUUAAUCGAUUUUAAAUAUAUCUAGUUUUUUUAGAAUUGAAUAAAAUUCAGCUUUGAAAAUUUUUAGAUAUUUAUAAAUUUAUUUAAUAAAUAAUUUAUUUCAAAGUAAAUAUAAUCGGGAUAAAUUGAUUAUAUUAUUUAUAAAUUAAGGUUAUUUUAUUUUUAAUAGUAAUAAUAAAAUUAUAUUUCUUUUUAAAAAAUUUUUUAAUUUAUAUUUGAAAAUUUAAAAUUUAUGAUUUAAUUUUUAUUUUAAUUAUUUAUAAAAAUUUAUUAAUAAAUAAAAUUUUAUAAAGAAUAAUGAUUAUAUUAGUAAAAUUUAAAUUGUAAUUAAAUAAAGAUAUAAAUUAAAAAUUUAAUUUUAAGGAAUUAGGCAAAAAUUUUAAUAUUAUAAAAUUUAUAUUUACCUGUUUAUCAAAAACAUGUCUUAUUGAUGAUAUUAAUAAUAAGUUUAUUCUGCCCAUUGAAAUAUAAAUUUUAAAAGGCUGCAGUAUAUUAACUGUACAAAGGUAGCAAAAUCAAUAGUUUUUUAAUUGGAAACUGGAAUGAAAGAAUUAAUAAAAUAUAUUCUGUCUCAAUUUUAAUUAAUUAAAUUUAAAUUAAAAGUUAAAAUGCUUUUAUAUAUUUAAUAGACGAUAAGACCCUAAGAAUUUAAUGAAUUUUAGUUAAUUAUUAAUUUUUAUAAUUAAAUUAAUUAAUUAAUUAAUUUUUUUUUAUUGGGAGGGUAAUUAAAUUUAUUAACUUUAAUUAAUAAUUAACAUUGAUAAAUGAAUAAAAUAAUGAUAAUAUUAAUACUUAUAAGAAUUAAUUACCUUAG